UGUUUUAAGUUCAGCUGCACGAAAAUUGCAAGUGUGGGGGGGUCGCCCGACCCCCCAACUUCAUCUCUGAACUGCCGUGAGCAUGGAACAACACUGCAUACACCUUGGCACGUCAUGGCACCAAAAACAGGCGCGAUGAGGGGGUCGCCCGACCCCCUUUCUAUGGCAAAAGGAAACGACACAAGUGCAGAAAGACUUCCCAAGGGACGUAGAAUCGAGUGGCAGGGCCAGGAACCUCCAGGUGGGGUCGGCCGACCCCUCCAUAGAGCCCUAGGCCCACCAGGAAGCUUCUAUACGACGAAACACAUCUUUCCUGCCCGGUUUGCUAACUCUUCCCCCUCUCAGUCUGUCCAAUUCUUUACCUUUGUGUCACAAUUAAAAUAAAAUUUGAUAGUUUAAACUUGUUUGCAAAAUAAAAAGUGAACUGGUUCAUGAUUUAAGAGAAAUUGUGACAUAAAGUAUAGUUCUUACAAUUGUUCAUCCUCAUGGGUAAAAAUCUAUAGGAACCAUAUUGACUAAGUUGUUGAUGAAAGUGAUAUAACUCUUGGCUAAGAAUUCAUAACAUUUCUAUUCAAGGUACUUAGAGAUUUGUUUCAAAAAUAUCACAAAACCAUAGUAUCAUUUACUCCUCAUUAGCAAGAAAUUCCCACCAAAAGCCAUACACUUAGAUAUUCAAGUAACCAUUUUAUGAAAUGCAACCUGCUAUUGUAAUGAGUUUUGUCAAAACCUUGUUGACCCUAGUGAGAGUUGUAUCAUAGUCACAAGAUCAAGAUCACGUACACACCACAUAUAUAUAUGCUGCUUCUACACUGGAAGUACGCAACCACAUGUAUUGUGCAUCCACUAAAUAGGUUGCUCCAUACUCUAAGUGUUAGAACACCUCUCUAAAUAUUGUUUAGAAAAUGAGACAUAAAAGGCUUGGCAAAAUAAAAGAAAAAGAAAAGAUGGACAUGUGCAAGUCCAUGAAGUAAAAAAAAAAAUUGAGCACAUAAAGCUCGAAGAAAAAGAAAAUCUAGCCAUGUCUCAAUAUACAAGUAGAGAGAGUGUAGCAAAUAAAGGAGCAACCUAGUCCACCAUAUAACACACUUGCACAUCUUGAUCUAUGACUAUGACACUCCUCUCUUUGGAUCCUUGUUUUUGACUUAACAAUAUUUGCAAAGUAGAGUAUGCUACCUUGUUUAUCCCUACCAAGCCCCAUAUAAGCCUAUAGUUAUAGGAUGAAACAAGUUGGCAUUCAUGCCUUGGUGAGGACUACUAAAAAAAACUUUGAGUGAUCUAGAGCGCUAAAUGAGGAGUAGGAUUUAACUAUGUGACUUAUUUUAAAAAGUGUCAUAAAAACUCUAAGUACCAAGAAUAUGAAAUUGGAAUUUGAUCUUGUUCUGAGAGUUGUUCCUUUUCUCAACCUCUGAAGGAUAUAUGCUAGACACUUACACAAAAACCCAUUUGGAUGAACUAUGUUCGAACUAGCAUUUUAUGCUCACUACUAUCUUAAGUUAGAAACCAUUGAUCACUCAUUUUUAACCUUUAC
rnacentral:lncRNA from 1 species